AGAGCAAGGAGUUUGAUGAGAGAAUUGGUUGAACCAAGUGAUGCGACUUUUAACAUUUUGAUAUCUGCAUAUUGUGUAGAGGGAAACUUAGUACAGGCUUUGGUGAUGUUGGAAAAGAGCUUUAGGAAAGGCUAUAUUCCUGAUGUUAUUGCAGUGCCUAAAGUAGUGGAACUUCUUUGUAACAACGGACGUGUUUCAGAGGCAU
rnacentral:misc_RNA from 1 species